rnacentral:rRNA from 1 species
GGCGCACGGGUGAGUAACGCGUACAUAAUCUACCCUGGUGUCUGGGAUAACCCUUCGAAAGGAGGACUAAUACCGGGUAUAUGCUUUACUGCAGGGUAAAGCAGGAAAGAUGGCCACUAUUUAUAAGCUAUCGCAUUGGGAUGAGUUUGCGUACCAUUAGCUAGUUGGUGAGGUAAUAGCUUACCAAGGCGACGAUGGUUAGCGGGUCUGAGAGGAUGAUCCGUCACACUGGCACUGGAACACGGGCCAGACUCCUACGGGACGCACGCAGUGAGGAAUAUUGCGCAAUGGGGGAAACCCCGACGCAGCGACGCCGCGUGAGUGAGGAAGGCCUUCGGGUCGUAAAGCUCUGUCAGAUGGGAAGAAGUGUAUUGCGGUUAAUACCCCUAGUAUUUGACGGUACCAUCAGAGGAAGCACCGGCUAACUCCGUGCCAGCAGCCGCGGUAAUAUCGGAGGGUGCGAGCGUUGUUCGGAAUCACUGGGCGUAAAGGGCGACGCAGGCGGCGUGCUAAGUCAGAUGUGAAAGCCCACGGCUUAACCGUGGAAGUGCAUUUGAUACUGGCAUGCUUGAGUACCAGAGGGGAAGGUGGAAUUCCCGUGUGUAGAGGUGAUAUUCGUAGAUAUCGGGAGGAAUACCGGUGGCGAAGGCGACUUU